rnacentral:rRNA from 1 species
CAAUAGCGUAUAUUAAAGUUGUUGCAGUUAAAAAGCUCGUAGUUGGAUUUCUGGUCGGAAGCUCCUGUCCUCUGAUGAGCGUACAAGUGCGUCCUACCAUCCUUCUGUUAACCUUUAAGGCUUUCGCGGCUUUCUAGGGGCUCAGAUAUUUUACCUUGAGAAAAUUAGAGUGUUUCAGGCAGGCUAGCGCCGGAAUACAUUAGCAUGGAAUAAUGGAAUAGGACUUUUGCCUCUUCUGUUGGUCAUGAGGCUCGAGUAAUGAUUAAUAGGGAUAGUUGGGGGCAUUAGUACAUAACUGUCAGAGGUGAAAUUCUCGGAUUUGUUAAAGACUAACUUAUGCGAAAGCAUUUGCCAAGGAUGUUUNCAUUA